UGACCCUGCACUGUGCUGAUUAGCUCACCAAACUCAGAGAGUGGCAAAACUGAGUGCCUCUGUCUGAACAUACAUCACUGACAUCAUUAAAGGCAAUUUCAGAACAAGAUGGAUUUGAAAUCUGGACUACGCAUGGUACUGACCAAGUCUCUGAGCUGCUGGAGGAGCUGCAAGAUGUCCACGAGUUUCUCCUCCACCAGCGACAGACGAACCCUCUCUGUCUCCAGCAUCUGCAGCUCCAUCUGAAGCAGCUCGGUCUCCUCUGCCUUUUGCUGCAGCUCCUGUAAGAGGGAGUCCUUUAUCUGGAAGACAAAACAAUAAAGAAAUAUAUAAUUCACAUGAAAUACACUGCUAUUUAAAGACUUCAUUGUAAAGUGUUUUUUGAUGAGGUGUGUUCUGUGGUUCGAUAGCUUUAAAAAUCAUGUGUGACACUGUUGAACAUCAUUGUUUUUCAUUUACCAUCUGCACAACUCUGUGUCCUAGAGCGAUGUAACUACUUACAGAGAGCUGUUUAAUGGUUUUAUAACAGCCUGCUGUUAUUGGAUCCUUUGUACAACAGACUAUUGUCUAUUCCUGUCUUCAUUUAACAAGGAAUGACAACCAGAUGUGCACCGACUGGCAUGAAUCAAACUUAGACCAUGGACUUCUAACAUUUGCUUGUUUUUAAAAUCUUUGAAUACC